GACGAACGCUGGCGGCGUGCUUAACACAUGCGAGUCGAACGGAAAGGCCCUGCUUUUGUGGGGUGCUCGAGUGGCGAACGGGUGAGUAACACGUGAGUAACCUGCCCUUGACUUUGGGAUAACUUCAGGAAACUGGGGCUAAUACCGGAUAGGAGCUCCUGCUGCAUGGUGGGGGUUGGAAAGUUUCGGCGGUUGGGGAUGGACUCGCGGCUUAUCAGCUUGUUGGUGGGGUAGUGGCUUACCAAGGCUUUGACGGGUAGCCGGCCUGAGAGGGUGACCGGCCACAUUGGGACUGAGAUACGGCCCAGACUCCUACGGGAGGCAGCAGUGGGGAAUAUUGCACAAUGGGCGGAAGCCUGAUGCAGCAACGCCGCGUGCGGGAUUACGGCCUUCGGGUUGUAAACCGCUUUCGCCUGUGACGAAGCGUGAGUGACGGUAAUGGGUAAAGAAGCACCGGCUAACUACGUG
rnacentral:rRNA from 1 species